rnacentral:rRNA from 1 species
AUGGUGCACUCCAGGCAAUUGUUUUACACAAGAUUAUUCAACGUCGAAGAAAAUUGCCCCUCAUACCUUAAAAAGGUUUCUGAGCAUAUUUUGAGAAAAUGUGCUGGAUUGCCUUUGGCAAUCAUUGCUAUAUCUGGUUUGUUGGCUAAUACUGAAAGGACAGAGGGUCCAUGGAAACAAGUUGAAGAUUCGAUUGGUCGAGCACUUCAAAGAAAUCCCAGUGUUGAAGGAAUGAUGAAGAUACUAUCACUUAGUUACUUUGAUCUGCCUGCUCAUCUGAAAUCUUGUCUUUUAUGUUUGAGUAUAUUCCCUGAAGAUUCUGUUAUCAGUAAGAAAAUUUUGAUAAAGAGGUGGAUUGCUGAAAGAUUAAUUCAUACAGAAGCCGGAUAUAGUACAACAUAUGAGUUUGGUGAAAGGUGUUUUAAUGAGCUCAUCAAUAGGAGUUUGAUCCAACCUGCGGAAACCAACAAAUAUGGUAUGGUAAAGUACUGUCGAAUUCAUGACACAGUUCUUGAUUUCAUCAUAUCCAAAUCCAUCGAAGAAAACUUUGUUACUUUGGUAGGUGUUCCUAGUUUAACUGUUGGCACACGAGUUCGCCGGCUGUCCCUGCAAGCCGGCAAGCAAAAAGAAUUGAUAGUGCCAAAAGGCUUGGUGUUGUCUCAUGUCCGAUCACUUGAUGUGUUUGGAGAAUCUGUGAAAAUCCCUUCUAUGGAUAAGUUCAGGCAUUUGCGUUUUCUGGACUUUGAAGGUUGCAAACAACUGGAGAACCAUCAUCUUAAAAAUAUAGAUAACUUGUUUCAGCUGAGGUACCUGAGCCUUCAUGGGGUGAAGAAAGUAAGCAACCUCCCAGAACAAAUUGGACGCCUAUGGUGCUUAGAGAUACUGGACUUAACUGAUACGUCUGUUUAUGAGUUACCAGCAUCUAUUGUCAAUCUCAAGAGACUGGUGCACCUAUUGGUAAACCUGUAUGUAACACUUCCUUGUGGAAUUCCCAAGCUGCAAGCACUGGAGAAAUUGAAGCAUGUCAAUGUCUAUUGUCAGUCAUUUAACUUCCUGCAAGAAUUUGAGCAGAUGCAGAGUCUGAAAGUAUUGCACCUUCAUUUUGAGGAUUAUUAUUUUGUUGACGGAAUGGACGCUGAAAAUGAGUCCAAGAAAACUAUUAUUGCCACUUCCCUUACAAACCUAGGGAACCUUCUCUCUCUAACUGUUUGUGACGGCCCUGAAUUUGUAAGGGAGUCUUUGUGCCCUAUGCCACUUAGCCUCCAGAAGCUGAAAGUCUUGAAUUCUAGUAUUCCCCAUGUUCCAAAUUGGGUGGGCUCCCUUAUCAACCUCCAGAAAUUACGCCUUGAAUUGGUGAGAGCUGAGCAGGAAGAUUUAUAUAUCCUUGGAGGCUUACCUGUUCUGCAUUGUCUGAUUCUGAGAAUUGAUGGCCAUGAAAUUAGAAGUACCUCAUUAACAGAAGAGCUCGAAGUUACAAGGGUCAUAGUCUGUGGUGAAGUUGGAUUCCCAUGCUUGAGGAUAUUUAUUUUUGAUAGUCAGUGUGCUGUGAUGAAUUUGACCUUUGCGGCUGGAGCCAUGCCCUUGGUAGAUGACCUCUUGAUAGUAUUUAACGCAGAAGAAACUGGGUCUCCCGGUACCAGCGGUGAUUUUGAUCUCGGAAUAGAAAAUCUCCUCAGCCUCGUUAAAAUCAGAUGUGUAGUAUGGGGAGACGAGGACGACAGAGUUGAGGCUGCAGAAGCUGCCAUUCGGGAAGCAGCCAACGCACAUCCCAACCGCCCUACUCUACGCUUGGACUGA